AGUGGAUGGGGAGCAACCUAGUUGUGCGUGUGUAAAGGUAGUGCCAAGAAAAGCGAUGAUCAUGUUGAAAAUCAAUUCCCGGUACCCGAAACCGACACAGGUGGGCAAGUAGAGAAUACUAAGGGGCGCGAGGUAACUCUCUCCAAGGAACUCGGCAAAAUGACCCCGUAACUUAGGGAGAAGGGGUGCCACCGAGAGGUGGUCGCAGUGAAGAGGCCCAGGCGACUGUUUAGCAAAAACAUAGGUCUCUGCAAACUCGAAAGAGGAGGUAUAGGGGCUGACGCCUGCCCAGUGCCAAAGGUUAAAGAAGUUGGUCAGUUUUAGGAUGAAGCUAGCGACUGAAGCCCCGGUGAACGGCGGCCGUAACUAUAACGGUCCUAAGGUAGCGAAAUUCCUUGUCGGGUAAGUUCCGACCCGCACGAAAGGCGUAACGAUCUGGGCGCUGUCUCGGAGGGAGGCUCGGCGAAAUAGGAUUGUCUGUGAAGAUACGGACUACCUGCAUUUGGACAGAAAGACCCUAUGAAGCUUUACUAUAGCUUGGAAUUGUGUUCGGGCUUCCUGUGCGCAGGAUAGGUGGGAGGCGUAGAAGGUAUUCUUGUGGGGAUACUGGAGCCAACGGUGAGAUACCACUCUCAGGAGGCUAGAAUUCUAACUUAAUUAAGGACAGUUUCAGGUGGGUAGUUUGACUGGGGCGGUCGCCUCCAAAAAGGUAACGGAGGCGUACAAAGGUUCCCUCAGACUGGUUGGAAAUCAGUCGAAGAGUGCAAAGGCAGAAGGGAGCUUGACUGCGAGAAGUACAGUUCGAGCAGGGUGGAAACACGGUCUUAGUGAUCCGACGGUGCUGUGUGGAAGGGCCGUCGCUCAACGGAUAAAAGUUACUCUAAGGAUAACAGGCUGAUCUCCCCCAAGAGUUCACAUCGACGGGGAGGUUUGGCACCUCGAUGUCGGCUCAUCGCAACCUGGGGCGGAAGUACGUCCCAAGGGUUGGGCUGUUCGCCCAUUAAAGCGGUACGUGAGCUGGGUUCAGAACGUCGUGAGACAGUUCGGUCCAUAUCCGAUGUAGGCGUGAGAAUAUUGAGAGGAGCCUUCCUUAGUACGAGAGGACCGGGAAGGACGCACCGCUGGUGUACCUGUUAUGAUGCCAAUUGUAAACGCAGGGUAGCCAAGUGCGGAGAGGAUAACCGCUGAAAGCAUCUAAGUGGGAAGCCCACCUCAAGAUGAGUAUUCUGGUGUAAGGUCACGGGAAGACGACCCGUAAAUAGGCACGAGGUGGAAGUGCAGAGAUGUAUGAAGCCGAAGUGUACUAAUAGACCGUCGGCUUGACC
rnacentral:rRNA from 1 species